ACAAUAGCUUCAUAGAAAUCAGAAGAUUUUCUUCCGUCCACAUGAAAAUUGAAAGCAAACUCAAGUUUCUAGAUUUCAUGAAGAGAUUCGGAAAGACCCCGAUCGGCCUUUCUGUCGGAGGAUUCUUCUUCAUCAAGAAAAACUUUGUCAUGAGAAUGUUAAGUGGAUUUUAUUCUAUUUUGUCAACGUUACUGAAGCUCGGCAACGAGAAGAAAAGUGGAUGCAUCUCGACAGAAAACAAC